CAAACCAGUAAGGAACAUCCCUCCAUGACCUCUGCAUCAGCUCCUGCUUCCUGACCUGCUUGAGUUCCAGUCCUGACUUCCUUGGUGAUGAACGCACUGGGGCCACUCUCAGAGCACACCUCCUCAACAUGGUGGACUGUACCUCAAACCGUGAGAUAACUAUAGCUCUCAACCAAUCAUUAAUCAAACUUCUCUUGCAACAAAUGGAGACCAUUACAGAAAACUACAGCCUUGCAAAAUGCAGGGAAUGAAUGGGGAGCCCAGUGGCUAUUACCACACCCUCAAAACAACUCCUGUGCCAAAGGAUCAGAAAUCAUCAAGCAAGAGGGGAAGAAGAAAAAGGGUUAGCAACGAAGGACCAGGGAAUCUGCUGUGAGAUUGUGUCUCCUGAACUGAUUAUUAAAGAUUUAUUUUUAUGUGUAUGG
rnacentral:lncRNA from 1 species